GGCAGUGAAGGGUGGCUCAGUUGGUGGAGCAGAGGCUCUAGGUGCGGAGGCUAUAGUCCUCAACUUGUUCUGGGUUCAGUCCCCAGUCUUGGGCCA